CGACAAACGUAAUUAAUCGCCGAUACAAUCUGCGACGUACUUACCGGAAACCUGCGAUCCGCUUGUGCUUCCUGCGCUCUCUGGAAUAUUUCCUGCAAACAGAAGAAAAACAACGUGUAGCGACAAACAGAGAUUACUAAUGUGUCCAUACAAAUACAGAUAUGAAUAAAUAUGUAAAUACCAGACAGGAUGAUUCAAAUUAAUGCUAGGAAAAUGGCUUUGUGCAUUCUCCGCCAGUGCUGCCACCACCGGAGAAUACCGUAAACAGCCGAUUAAACAAAUACACCGGUUUAAAUAGCGGGUACAUGAAAAAUGUGUUAUAAUAUUAUUUGAAAAGUAUUAGUAAGUGCAAUUCGUG